GGCGCAAGCGCAAGGCGCACAUCGCUGACUAUGCGUCUCGUUCUUCUUGUACAGGCUUUGUUCCUGUCAACCGCCAACUCCCUUACUGCGCCUUCAGUCAAGCCGUGUACAACAGCGACAACAUGCGACAUCGACGGGGAAGCUGCAUGCGUCCCUUCAUACACGGAUGAUGCAGCGAUUACAAGUCACGGGUUCCUGACGUCAACGGAUUCAACUCCUCUAAAGGCAGCACCGAACCAUGGACUUGCCAGUGGGCACGGCGAAAGCGCAAGGCGCACAUCGCUGACUAUGCGUCUCGUUCUUCUUGUACAGUGAGCGCAGAAUGCGAGGCGUCCCAAUGUCCUUUGGUUGCCAACGAGAACGGAUUAUACAUCGUCCUUCAAGCAAGCAACCCCACUUAUAAAAGUCCUUCGCGUGGUGACACAUAACGCUUCAUCAAUAAUAAAGACAUUUGCAUCUGCAGAGUGGGAGGCUGAAGAGGACGAUGACGAUGACACUUUCGAAGACUGUCCGGAUCGUUUAAGGAAGGAGUUUUUAAGCGAGUGCCAUCAGCGGCAAUUUUGAUUAGGCUACGCCACCCACAGUCUACAGCUUGCCGUAAAAGACGCCAUUCGGCAGGUAUGCGCUAUUAAAUAACAUAUCGGUUUCAUCUUA